rnacentral:rRNA from 1 species
AUUGAACGCUGGCGGCGGGCUUAACACAUGCAAGUCGAGCGGAGCGAGGGUGCUUGCACCUUAGCUUAGCGGCGGACGGGUGAGUAAUGCUUAGGAAUCUGCCUAUUAGUGGGGGACAACAUUCCGAAAGGAAUGCUAAUACCGCAUACGCCCUACGGGGGAAAGCAGGGGAUCUUCGGACCUUGCGCUAAUAGAUGAGCCUAAGUCGGAUUAGCUAGUUGGUGGGGUAAAGGCCUACCAAGGCGACGAUCUGUAGCGGGUCUGAGAGGAUGAUCCGCCACACUGGGACUGAGACACGCCCCAGACUCCUACGGGAGGCAGCAGUGGGGAAUAUUGGACAAUGGGCGGAAGCCUGAUCCAGCCAUGCCGCGUGUGUGAAGAAGGCCUUUUGGUUGUAAGGCACUUUAAGCGAGGAGGAGGCUACUUAGAUUAAUACUCUGGGAUAGUGGACGUUACUCGCAGAAUAAGCACCGGCUAACCCUGUGCCAGCAGCCGCCGUAA